CAUAAGGAAGUGCUAGUUGAUUGUACAGAUUGUAGAUUUGACGCUGCACACUGAAAAACUAGCUUCUGAAGCAAGCAUGGCAAAGAACAGGACAUUUUAUACCACACAAAUGUGCGUUAGGUGCUUGUCUAAAGAGGCCUUGGCCCUGUGCUGCCAGACCCUUGAGCCUUUGCAGAAUCUUUUUUGAUUUCAGGCGGGCUCCACACAACUACAGGGUCUGUUCAGACAGUACAGCUUGCAGGAGUAGAGCUCAGAUCUCUUUUACGUUUUAACUAAAAACAGCAUCUUAUUCCAAACUUGUGCUUUCUGUGGAACUCAGGGUGGGGUCAUUUCUGUUAACUGACGGCAAAAGAUAAGCACAUUUAGUAAGACAGGGUGUAACCUAAUAGUUAUGAAAUAAGGGGAAAUGAUGUGUUUACGGUUUCACAGCCUGUUCCCUUGAUUUCUAACUCACAGAGGGAGCUGGUAGUGACCCCUGUAUGGAGGGUGGCUCUGUCCUUCCCUUACAACAGAGUCUUGUGAAGUUAGAUUUUCUCAAACAUCGCCAUUGUUUGCAACAGACAUUUAGAAAUUCAGCAGGCAGAAAGCGCUCAGGUUAGAGACGCGCCUUUUUUUGUGCCCCCUCCCAGGCAAUUCCAUUCAACUUAAAAAUCAAAAUCAGUCAAUCAAUCCCCAUUUCCCUUCUGACUCACAGUUCCAAAAAAUGUUGGCAGCCUGCCAAAAAAAACCCCCACAAAUAUCCUAAGUCCUACACUAUGCCCCGACAGCAGCAAGAUGCUGCACUCGGAAUGCCUGGGAGCCGCAGCCAGGCCGUGGAGAACACUGGGUCAGGAUCCCCAAGAGCCUCCUUAGCUAGCACAUGGGCCGCUGUAGGUCAUCGCCCACUCUGGGGGCACCGCACUGGGCAGGAGCUAGAGGCCAGUGAGGAAGCCCUGGAGCCCAUCAGUGAAAGAACCGUCAACCUGAAUCGUCAGUGGCAGAGGGGCUGGAACAAUGUUUAUAAUGGGGGUGCUGUGAGCCAUUCAACCAAACUGUGAACUCUGUAUACAAUGGGAACUACUUCAAAUGAGGGAGUACAGCAGAAUCCCCAGCACCCCUAGUUAGUAGAGAGAAUCCCUUCACGGUCUCUAUUACUUCUCUCUGUUGUAGGGUUGCUAACCCUCCUGGUUUCACUGGGAGUCUCCUGGAAUCAGGCCCUAUUUCCCGGAGGCUACUGCAGCCAAACCAGGAGAUUUGGGGCAUUAGCAGUCUGGCAGCUCAGGGGGGCUAAGGCAGGCUUCCUGCCUGCCCUCGCUCCAAGCCGCUCUCAGAAGCGGCUGGCACUGUCCCUGCAGCACUUGGUGGGUCGGGGGACAGGGAUCUCCGCUCGCUGCCACCACCCCAAGCGCAGACUCCACAGCUCCCAUUGACCAGGAACUGCGGCCAAUGGGAGCUGCAGGGGCGGUGCCUGCAGGCAGGGGCAGCAUGCAGAGCUCCCUGAACCCCCUGCGCCUAGGAGCCGCUGCCAGACGGAUGUACCCAGUCGCUUUCGGGAGCUGCCCAAGUGAACACACAGAUCUACUGAGCUCCACCAAGAUAAAUACGUAACUGGCAGCUGUACCUUUGGAUAGCAGCACGGGAUCUGUUCGGACGAAAGAGUCUGUGACAACGAGUUUUAUCCUGCUUGGAAACUCCUUUGCCCAGCCCAGAUGCUCCCCCAGAGAUAAGCUGAGUAAAACAGAUCAGGCCAGGCAGAUGAUCAGGGGAAAAAACGAAAGCAAGUGCAACACAAACAGAACCCCUCUCUGAACUACAUGCCUGAUCUCCAUUCUACCAUGCCUAGGAGCAAGAUCAGACACCAACUAGCAUACUGAUCUGAUGAACAAAAGCUUUGGAGUCCCUGAAUUCUGUUAUUAAUUAUAGAGCUCACCCUCCUUGCUUAGGGUCAGAUGGUGAUCUCAACUUCAGGAGUGUAACAACGGGGUUAUUCCAUAGAUUUCACUGGAGUUAUCUGGCUUUACACUAGUUAUCUGGUUACACUGGCUUUAUCUGGUUACACUGGCUUUACACUAGUGUAAACAUAAUCAGAAUCUGUCUCUUGGCAUAUAAUGGGUAAGGCUGGACAUAUUAGGCCAGAUUCCAGGGUGCUUUGUACCACUCCUGCAGCGUGUAGGGACUGCAAAGGGAGUGGUGCGGUCCCCAAAGGAAUUCCCGCAGUGCAGGGAAAGCAUAUCCUGGCAUAUGCAGCCUGAAAGCUGCCUCUCAUGCAGCCCCUGGUGUAGGGAACUGCCAAAGGCAUGAAGAGAAGUGGCCAGAACACUUCAUGCUUGGGAAUUCUUGGCUGCAGGGAAACCCAUUGGCAGCGGCAGUGGGAAAGCUGCUGAGGGUUAUGUGGGGGUGUGACUAUUCCAGGAACAGGUGGGGCCUGUGUGGGCGCGUAGUGCUCUAACCGAACAUACACAGGAGGCUGCACAGGCCCUCAGAGCCUGAGGAGCCCGGAAUCAGAGAGGUAUAAAGGGGGCUAAAAGCCCCGACGUCCUGGUCAGAGCCUUGUGUGCCACACCUCUUGUGAGCAGCUGCACAGUCUUGUUCAUAUCUUUUAGUCACAGCACUUCCUGUCAGUGAAGAUUUGAACUGUUAGUGGUCAUGACAAGGCAUUUCUGUUCCACCUCUGAACACUCACUUUCUACAUUCGUGGCUCUCAACCUUACCAGACUACUGUACCCCUUUCAGGAGUCUGAUUUGGUCUUACAUACACCCAAGUUUCACCUCACUUAACUACUGGCUUACAAAAUCAGACCUAAAAAUACAAGUGUCUCACAGCACGCUAUUACUGAAAAAUUGCUGACUUCCUCAUUUUUAUCUUAUAAUUGUAAAAAUCAGUCAAUUAGAAUAUAAAUAUUUUAUUUACAUAUCAGUGUAUAGUAUACAGAGAAAUAUAAACAAUUUACUGUCUGUGAGAAAUUUUAGUUUGUACCGACUUUGCUAGUGCUUUUUAUGUAGCCUGUUAUAAAAUUAGGCAAAUCUCUAGAUGAGUUGAUGUACCCCCUGGAAGACCUCUGCAUACCCCGAAGGGUACACAUACCCCUGGCUGAGAACCACAGUUCUACAUCAUCCAAGAGAAAACAUACAUUGAGGAGCCAAAGUAGCUUUUAGCUUUCCACAAAGGUAUGUACGCAGUCCUCUCCCUCCCCUCACACACAUUCCUGUCCCAGGCCUUAGAAUAACACAGCCAAGUUCAUGAAAGAGAAUUCUGUGUGGAAAACAUUCACCGAUUAGUCAUUUUGAGCACCAGGUAGUUGAUACUUUUUCUUUAUAUUUCUAGUUAGUUUUAUUAGGGAACUUGGAAUUCCAUAGGCAAUCCCUUAGAGUCUGAUCUAAGGGAUGUCUAUAUUAGAAAGUUGUGCCAAUUUAACUCUAUCAUCAUAGAUAGUCCGCACUACGGGACUCAGUUAUGUCUGUACAAAGGUGCUUACAGCAGUAGAGCAAAUCUUGUAUGGGCAAGGGAAUAAGUUAUACCACUAUAACUGCAUCCAUAUUAGUGCUUUUACCAGUGUAACUAUUCUGCUAAAACAUCACACAUCUAAUGGAAACAGAUAUACUAGUCAAACUUUGGACCAAGCUGUAGUGCAAUGUACACCUAGGGAUGGGUGAUGAAGCCAGUUGCCCUGGGUGCCAAUUUCCAGCACAUGCAAAUCAACAUCAGGUUGUGUGCACGCUUUAACUGAGGCUUUAAUUUUACUCUUUGCUCUGACUUUGCUUUUUGCUCAUCCAUUUGCAGGGGACCAGAAAACGAAACACCAAGGGCCAGCCAUAGGAAUGAACCACUAUUUAAACACUUCUUUCUUGGUUGUGGUAUCACUAGCUGGACAUCUCAACUAAAUCUAGUUGUAAAAUUUGAUGCGAGGUGCUCUAACUAGCACACACAUUAGUAAAUGCAGCAAUGCCUGUCUGACGUUGCACUCCAUAUGUUUUUAUGGAAAUAUGAGUGUAAAUAUAAAGUAACUGGAAUAUGCUGUAUGCAAAAGGUCUUUUGUAAGGUAUUAUUACAAAGCUUAUAAUCUACUGAGUGUGUUCCUCCUAUUUGUACCAAGGUAUCAUUCUUGUAUCUGAAGCUAGAUAUAUGAAGUAUUAUUCUGAAGUCCUAUUGUAACUAUGGAAAGUGUGGGCCGUUAAUGGUGGCUUGGAAUCUUGAUGGCUCCCAUUAACUGGGACAAUUGGUUGUGAAUAGCUUUGUUUACUCGCAAACCUUCCUGAGUACCUGCAGGCGAGCCCUGAAAGAAUGGAGAAUAAGGUCUCACAGUGACAUGUGAUCAUGUCACCUGGUACUGAAAUUCAUCUUAAACCUGGCGCUUUUCCAUUUUGAAGGAAGGGUGCGGGCCCAGAGAGACAAAAGAUUCCCGCCUUGUGCCAAAGCUAUGAAAGGGGGUGGAACAAAACCAAGGGGGCUCCCAGUCAUGUGAAAUCCCCUGCUUUUCAUCUAAGAUGCCUGCUGGAACGAACAAGGUCUGUACCAGGGGAAAGGAUUGGGCCCAGACUAGGAAGGACUCUAGUCUGUGAAAGAAGCUUAUUGGAACAUCUCUGAGGGUGAGAUUAACCUGUAUUCAGUUUCUUAAUGGAUUAGGCUUAGACUUGCGUGAUUUGUUUUAUUUUGCUUGGUAGCUUACUUUGUUCUGUGUGUUAUUACUAGAAACCACUUAAAUCCUACUUUUUAUACUAAAUAAAAUCACUUUCAUUUAUGAAUUAAA